UUAAAAUGUUAAUAUUAUGAACUAAAGUAGUAUCAGUUAUGUUCUUUAAAUUUAAAGAUUUUGGCGGUAUUUUAGUCUAUUCAGAGGAACCUGUUCUGUAAUUGAUAGUCCACGAUUAACUUUACUUAAAUUUAAAAGUUUGUAUAUCGUUGUUUAUAGAAAAUUUUUUAAGAAAAAUAAUUUUUAAUAAAUUUAAUUAAAUCAUAAAUCAAAUCAAGGUGCAGUUUAUAUUUAAGUAGAAAUGGGUUACAAUAAAUUUAUUUAAACGGAUUUAAAUUUUAACAUAUUUAAUGAAGGAGGAUUUGAUAGUAAUUUUAUUUAAUUUAAUAAAAUGAUUAUAGCUCUAGAAUAUGU
rnacentral:rRNA from 1 species